rnacentral:lncRNA from 1 species
GAACGGCUCUCUUGCAGAAAUAGCCGUUUGGCAUUUUUAAAAUUUAACCAUUUGACCCCUCAAGUUUAAUUUAACCCCAAACUUUAUAUAAUUACACAAUUUCCCAUUUCUCAACUAUAAAUACCCCCACAUUCUUUCAUUUCAAUUCACCAAUUCAUCAAUCUCUCUCAAGCUCUCUUUCAAUCUUUCUAGUGCAAGUGCUUAAAUUUUUGUUGCAAAUUCGUGAAACAUUGUGAAGGUGUUGAAUUGAAGUUUUCAAGUGUUCAAUUUCAACGAUUUUCAAUUUUCAAGAAGUUGUUCGUCAAUCCGGUAAACUCGUUUCAACUCUUACGUGCNNN